rnacentral:tRNA from 1 species
UGGAGAUAUAUCGAAGUGGCUGUAACGAGCCGCACUCGAAAUGCGGUUGUCCGAAAGGGCACGUGGGUUCGAAUCCCACUAUCUCCGU